CCUACGGGAGGCAGCAGUGAGGAAUAUUGGACAAUGGAUGGAAAUCUGAUCCAGCCAUGCCGCGUGCAGGAAGACUGCCCUAUGGGUUGUAAACUGCUUUUGUAUGGGAGCAAUAAGCCCUUCGUGAAGGGUGAUGAGAGUACCAUACGAAUAAGCAUCGGCUAACUCCGUGCCAGCAGCCGCGGUAAUACGGAGGAUGCAAGCGUUAUCCGGAUUUAUUGGGUUUAAAGGGUGCGUAGGCGGUUGGAUAAGUCAGCGGUGAAAGUUUUCUGCUUAACAGGAAAAAUGCCGUUGAUACUGUCUGGCUAGAAUAUAGUUGCUGUGAGUGGAAUGUGUGGUGUAGCGGUGAAAUGCUUAGAUAUCACACAGAAUAUCGAUUGCGAAGGCAGCUCACAAAGCCAUUAUUGACGCUGAGGCACGAAAGUGUGGGGAUCAAACAGGAUUAGAUACCCUGGUAGUCCACACUGUAAACGAUGAUAACUCGCUGUCGGCGAUACACAGUCGGUGGCCAAGCGAAAGCGAUAAGUUAUCCACCUGGGGAGUACGACCGCAAGGUUGAAACUCAAAGGAAUUGACGG
rnacentral:rRNA from 1 species